AACGAACGCUGGCGGCAGGCCUAACACAUGCAAGUCGAGCGAGGACUUCGGUCCUAGCGGCGGACGGGUGAGUAACGCGUGGGAACGUGCCCCUUGGUACGGAAUAGCCCCGGGAAACUGGGAGUAAUACCGUAUGAGCUCUACGGAGGAAAGAUUUAUCGCCAAGGGAUCGGCCCGCGUUGGAUUAGGUAGUUGGUGGGGUAAUGGCCUACCAAGCCGACGAUCCAUAGCUGGUUUGAGAGGAUGAUCAGCCACACUGGGACUGAGACACGGCCCAGACUCCUACGGGAGGCAGCAGUGGGGAAUCUUAGACAAUGGGCGCAAGCCUGAUCUAGCCAUGCCGCGUGAGCGAUGAAGGCCUUAGGGUUGUAAAGCUCUUUCAGCUGGGAAGAUAAUGACUGUUCCAGCAGAAGAAGCCCCGGCUAACUCCGUGCCAGCAGCCGCCGUAA
rnacentral:rRNA from 1 species